UGGGGAAUUUUGGACAAUGGGCGAAAGCCUGAUCCAGCAAUGCCGCGUGUGUGAAGAAGGCCUUCGGGUUGCAAAGCACUUUUGUCCGGAAAGAAAUCCUUGGCUCUAAUACAGUCGGGGGAUGACGGUACCGGAAGAAUAAGCACCGGCUAACUACGUGCCAGCAGCCGCGGUAAUACGUAGGGUGCAAGCGUUAAUCGGAAUUACUGGGCGUAAAGCGUGCGCAGGCGGUUUGCUAAGACCGAUGUGAAAUCCCCGGGCUCAACCUGGGAACUGCAUUGGUGACUGGCAGGCUAGAGUAUGGCAGAGGGGGGUUAGAAUUCCACGUGUAGCAGUGAAAUGCGUAGAGAUGUGGAGGAAUACCGAUGGCGAAGGCAGCCCCCUGGGCCAAGUACUGACGCUCAUGCACGAAAGCGUGGGGAGCAAACAGGAUUAGAUACCCUGGUAGUCCACGCCCUAAAACGAUGUCAACUAGUUGUUGGGGAUUCAUUUCCUUAGUAACGUAGCUAACGCGUGAAGUUGACCGCCUGGGGAGUACGGUCGCAAGAUUAAAACUUAAAUGAAUUG
rnacentral:rRNA from 1 species